CCUACGGGAGGCAGCAGUGGGGAAUCUUGCGCAAUGGGCGAAAGCCUGACGCAGCCAUGCCGCGUGAAUGAUGAAGGUCUUAGGAUUGUAAAAUUCUUUCACCGGGGACGAUAAUGACGGUACCCGGAGAAGAAGCCCCGGCUAACUUCGUGCCAGCAGCCGCGGUAAUACGAAGGGGGCUAGCGUUGCUCGGAAUUACUGGGCGUAAAGGGAGCGUAGGCGGAUAGUUUAGUCAGAGGUGAAAGCCCAGGGCUCAACCUUGGAAUUGCCUUUGAUACUGGCUAUCUUGAGUGUGGGAGAGGUAUGUGGAACUCCGAGUGUAGAGGUGAAAUUCGUAGAUAUUCGGAAGAACACCAGUGGCGAAGGCGACAUACUGGCCCAUUACUGACGCUGAGGCUCGAAAGCGUGGGGAGCAAACAGGAUUAGAUACCCUGGUAGUCCACGCUGUAAACGAUGAGUGCUAGUUGUCGGCAGGCAUGCCUGUCGGUGACGCAGCUACGCAUAAGUACACUCCGCCGUCGGGAGGUACGGUCGCGAAGAAUUAAACGUAACAAUAGAAGUUAGUACGGCGUGAGACGUCGCCGACGGACGACGACGAGGGAGGAGG
rnacentral:rRNA from 1 species